AUCUUUACCAUAAUGAACUACAAAAAGACAAGAUCAACUGGAAGAUACUGGACUGGUAUCACGACUACCACCUGAUCGCAAGUUCCAUUUUGUCCUCGGUUUCUUCCGUUGAAGGAUGUGUUCCUAUUAAACAGUUCUUGUCCUGAGGUGGUUCUUUUUUGUUCCAGUCACAAGCUCAAGUUUGCCUCUCCAAUUUCGACCUCACCCGAAACCACAACUGCAGCUCCUUACACAGCAGCUUUGAGGACGAGGAAGCCAAAAGGAUAGUACAAUCAAUGCCCGGGCGGUAGUAUACAGCAACAAUCACAUGAUCCAGCCAGCCAAUCAAAUGGCUCCACUGAGCACAAUCAUCGAAAGAAGCUCUGACACUGAAUACUUUUAACAAUGAUGAACAGUGAGGGUGUGAGGAGGAGUUUCAGUGACCACGGGGUGAUGAGGAACAAGCAAUAAGAUAGUGAGUGGAGCAUGGGAGAAGGUAUAUGGUGUGGCACGACAUGGGAAGUGCAUAUGGUAUAUUAUAUGGUACAAGGUGAGUAUGUGUGGUAGUGGUAUAUAUGUGUAUAAAAAAAUAACUGCUUGAAUAAUGUGGAAGAAUUUCGAAUUUUAAUUGGUGUUGCAUGCCCUCUCUUCUUUUAUAUGCCCUUGAUAUUAGUGCAUAUGAUAUUUAUUAGCCUGGGAACGUUUUCAGCCAGAAAGCUGUAUUUUGUCGGUUAAUUGAAUAAGCUACGUCAGUAUAGAAUUGUAUUU